UCAGGCCUAACACAUGCAAGUCGAACGAGAUUAUAGGGUAAGCUUGCUUACCUUAUAUGACAGUGGCGCACGGGUGCGUAACGCGUAUGCAAUCUACCUUAAUCAGGGGGAUAGCCUCUCGAAAGAGAGAUUAAUACCGCAUAACAUUAUGAUAUGGCAUCAUAUUAUAAUCAAACAUAUAUGGGAUUAAGAUGAGCAUGCGUGACAUUAGCUAGUUGGUGAGGUAACGGCUCACCAAGGCAACGAUGUCUAGGGGAUCUGAGAGGAUGACCCCCCACACUGGUACUGAGACACGGACCAGACUCCUACGGGAGGCAGCAGUAAGGAAUAUUGGUCAAUGGACGCAAGUCUGAACCAGCCAUGCCGCGUGCAGGAAGACGGCCCUAUGGGUUGUAAACUGCUUUUAUACGGGAAUAAACCUUCUUUCGUGAAAGAAGCUGAA
rnacentral:rRNA from 1 species